GCCUUCGUGAUGUAGUGGUCAGCACGCUGGGGGCGUAUUCCAGAGGCCCACGGUUCGAGUCCCGGCGAAGGCG
rnacentral:tRNA from 1 species